UACGUAGGGUGCGAGCGUUGUCCGGAAUUACUGGGCGUAAAGGGCGCGUAGGCGGCCUGCUAAGUCGAACGUGAAAUCCCCGGGCUCAACCCGGGAACUGCGUCCGAUACUGGCAGGCUUGAAUCCGGGAGAGGGAUGCGGAAUUCCAGGUGUAGCGGUGAAAUGCGUAGAUAUCUGGAGGAACACCGGUGGCGAAGGCGGCAUCCUGGACCGGCAUUGACGCUGAGGCGCGAAAGCCAGGGGAGCAAACGGG
rnacentral:rRNA from 1 species